rnacentral:misc_RNA from 1 species
GAAUCACUCUGUUCACUCACAAUUUUCCAAUCUUGAGUCUCAAAUUCUGAGUUAAAAUGUCUGCUGGACGCCCUAAAUCUGAUGAACGCCCUAAGGUUAUCAAACUUAAGAUUAUGAUUGACAAGAACAGAAAUCGAGUUAUCUUUGCAGAGUCGGACCAUGAAUUCAUCGACACACUCUUCUCAUUCUUGACACUCCCGUUA